GCCUCCGUGGCACAAUCGGUUAGCGCGUUCGGCUGUUAACCGAAAGGUUGGUGGUUCGAGCCCACCCUGGGCGCU
rnacentral:tRNA from 1 species